CCGCUGGGGUGAUUCUGGGUCAGAUUUCGGGGUAUUUUUGGGGCUAUUUUGGCUCAGAUUUUGGGGUAUUUUAGGUGCGAUUCUGGCUCAGAUUUCGGGCGAUUUCGGCUCAGAUUUCAGGGUAUUUUUGGGGUGCUUUUGGCUCAGAUUUCGGGGUAUUUUUGGGGCUAUUCUGGCUCAGAUUUUGGGGUAUUUUAGGGGUGCUUUUUGCUCAGAUUUCAGGGGUAUUUUCGGGCUAUUUCGGCUCAGAUUUUGGGGUGUUUUCUGCUCAGAUUUCGGGGUAUUUUUUGGGCUAUUCUGGCUCAGAUUUCGGGGUAUUUUAGGUGUGAUUUCGGCUCAGAUUUCGGGGUAUUUUUGGGCUAUUCUGGCUCAGAUUUCGGGACGAUUUCGGGCUAUUUCGGCUCAGAUUUCGGGGUGUUUUUGGUCAGAUUUCAGGGUAUUUUAGGUGCGAUUUUGGCUCAGAUUUUGGGGUGUUUUUGGGGCGAUUCUGGCUCAGAUUUCGGGGUGUUUUUGGCUCAGAUUUCAGCGUAUUUUAGGUGCGAUUUCGGCUCAGAUUUUGGGGUAUUUUCAGGCUAUUUCGGCUCAGAUUUCGGGGUGAUUUUGGGUUAUUUCGGCUCAGAUUUCAGGAUAUUUUAGGUGCGAUUUCGGCUCAGAUUUCGGGGUAUUUUAGGUGCGAUUUCGGCUCAAAUUUUGGGGUAUUUUCGGGCUAUUUCGGCUCAGAUUUUGGGUUAUUUUUGGGGUAUUUUUGGGGUGAUUUCAGCUCAGAUUUGGGGGUGUGCCCCCCGGUCCCACCUGGUUGAACUCGAGCACGUCGAGCAGGUCGAAGAGCUUCCUGUUCUUCUCGUUGUCCUUGAGUUUGACGUAGUACUGCUGCAGCCCGUGCAGCGUCAGCUUCGUCUCGUCGUCCACGAAGAUCUCCAUGGGCUGGGGGGGGAGCGCGCUCAGACCCCGCACGGGCACCCCA
rnacentral:lncRNA from 1 species